UACAGAGGGUGCGAGCGUUAAUCGGAAUUACUGGGCGUAAAGCGUGCGUAGACGGUUAUUUAAGUUGGGUGUGAAAGCCCCGGGCUCAACCUGGGAAUUGCAUUCGAGACUGAAUAGCUAGGGUACGGUAGAGGGAAGCGGAAUUUCCGGUGUAGCGGUGAAAUGCGUAGAUAUCGGAAGGAACAUCAGUGGCGAAAGCGGCUUCCUGGACCAGUACCGACGUUCAGGCACGAAAGCGUGGGGAGCAAACAGG
rnacentral:rRNA from 1 species